rnacentral:rRNA from 1 species
AAAUGAAUUGACGGGGACCCGCACAAGCAGCGGAGCAUGUGGUUUAAUUCGAAGCAACGCGAAAAACCUUACCAAGACUUGACAUCGUCUGACCGGUAUAGAGAUAUACUUUUCCCUUCGGGGACAGAUAGACAGGUGGUGCAUGGUUGUCGUCAGCUCGUGUCGUGAGAUGUUGGGUUAAGUCCCGCAACGAGCGCAACCCCUAUGAACAGUUGCCAAUAUUAAGUUAGGAACUCUGUUCAGACUGCCGUGGACAACACGGAGGAAGGUGGGGAUGACGUCAAAUCAUCAUGCCCCUUACGUCUUGGGCUACACACGUGCUACAAUGGCUACUACAAAGUGCUGCAAGCUAGCAAUAGUAAGCGAAUCACAAAAAAGUAGUCUCAGUUCGGAUUGUGGGCUGCAACCCGCCCACAUGAAGUCGGAGUUGCUAGUAAUCCCAGAUCAGCAUGCUGGGGUGAAUGCGUUCCCGGGUCUUGCACACACCGCCCGU